AAAGUACUUAUUGAUCUUUCUAAGGACCAGAAAAUCACUAACUUACUAAAAUUAAUUGAAGAAUUGUUUGGAGAUGCAAAAAAAGUUGAAAUUAUUAGCAAGCUAAGAAGUAAAGCCUGAUGAGUUUGUAACUGUAAAUUGUUAAAAAUGCUGAAAGAGCCAGAUCCAGUUCAAUCACAGUCUAGCCCUGAGUUGGAUCAACUU